CCGGCCGAUGCCGCCCAGCUCAUUCGCAGAAGAAGCUGCAGUACGCUGAAACGUAUCGCGGAUGAGAACUGUUUGCAGAUGCUAUUUAUGUGCUGUGAACUAAACGUGUAUUCUGUGCUGUUUACAGGACCCAGGGGACGACUGGUCUUCGCCAGAUCGUCGCCUCGCAUGCCUCGUUCCCACACUUCCGCAGUCCUGAUGCCAACCUCCCGUGUACCGACCAACGGCUGUCUCCCGACCUACCCUUGUGUAUACCAUGGAUGACCUGAAAGCUUACGAGAGCAUGGAUGCAUACAAUCAGUUUGUGUGUGGCUGGGAUCGCCAUGUGGGAGCUGUUGUCAGAAAUGGAUACCACCUGGUCAGUGGAAAGGUUCUCCAUUCCCAAGAAUUGCAAGAAAAGCCCCUUCGGCCUUGGGUGAUUGCUAAACUAAGUGUGAAAAUUGUUGCUGCACAUUGGGACUUCAAGCCUGGCCUGGGAGAAGUUCACAUGUUGUAGCACUGCUGUUUUGGGUUGAAGCCAACAUCAGGAUACGGGACUCAGACUGUCACGUAAGAGAAAGCAUACUGGAAGUUGCCAAUGCCUGCUCAAAAGUAGUCCAUACAAAAAAUAAAAAA